rnacentral:rRNA from 1 species
UACGUAGGGAGCAAGCGUUGUUCGGAUUUACUGGGCGUAAAGGGCGCGUAGGCGGCGCGGUAAGUCACUUGUGAAAUCUCUGAGCUUAACUCAGAACGGCCAAGUGAUACUGCAGUGCUAGAGUGCAGAAAGGGCAAUCGGAAUUCUUGGUGUAGCGGUGAAAUGCGUAGAUAUCAGGAGGAACACCGGUGGCGAAGGCGGUUCUCUGGGCAUGUCCUGACGCUGAGGAGCGAAAGUGUGGGGAGCGAACAGG